UUUUUUUAAAUAAGUUAAAGUGAACCUAACUCAAACUAUAAUUGAUUGAUGUUUGAUCCCUUCCUUGUUUGGAAUUCUAAUUAGGUAAGCGAAGGACCAAGAGAAUCAUGAUAUGAGGGGAAGUGGGAUUCAUGCAUCUGAAAUCAAUGAACAAUUUGGGAACUGGUUAAGGGCUGUGUUGCUACUUACACUUUCAGUGCUUUCAUUUCUCCGUUCAUUGAAGAAGGGCAGUAGUUCGGGAUUUGAGGUUUGAGCAGGAAGAAACAUGUCUUUUGGGGGAAAGUGAAAGCUUGGAGGCCCAAGUAACCGACCAUUGUUUUAAUUAGGAAUCCACGAUUCGGGUCCUCGAACAAUGAUCAGAAUCAAUCAUUUGCGGGGGGUCAAACAGAAGGUGUCCUCAAGGUGUUCGACGAAAUGCCUAUAAGACAAUCGAAGGGACAACAAUAUCUUCUGCUUGUUGGGGAAGUUGUCUGGUGAGAGAAUGAGCCAGAAGUAUACGUUUUUUUUUCUCUCUUUCUGCUAGAAGUUGCAAGCGUUUCUUUUUGCAGCUGGAAAUGCUUCAAAUGGUUAGUCAAAGAUUCCUUGUUCAUCCAAUGAGCAAAAGAGGGGAACAGAAAGCAAAGAGAGACUACUGAUCAUUUUCAUGCUUAUCCCCUUUUCUUAUAUUUUAAUCGUAUACUCAAAAUCUCUGUUUUUCUGUCAUAAUGUAAGAAAUUAAUGUCAGCCAUUCUCGUGACAUGUAUAUUCGUGUCUUAAUAUAUAGUUUCUUCAAAGUCUAA